rnacentral:lncRNA from 1 species
CUGGUGAGUUCCGGUGUCUAGGAGUCUUAUAAUCACGGUUCCGCUAGGCUGUGGUGAAGAGAUUCGUUUCUUCCUGACAGCCUUAAUGUUCAGAUGAGAAAGAUGAGGGUCCUAGAGGAAGAGGUUUCUCAUAUUCACUCAGCAAGAAACUCCCGAGACCAGCGCGCUUUCCACAUGACUCCUCUGAGCGUAGGACUAUCCUUGAGGUGGGCGUGGGUAGGUUUCCCCUUGAGGAGUUCCCGAGGCUGAUCUCGCAGAAAUGUCCCCAUUCCACAAAUGGAAGAAAGGAAAGCUCGAGAGGGACGUCCGGCAUAAGGAACUUUCCAGGGCAAGGUUACCAGAUUUAGCAAAUAAAAUGCAGGACUCCCGGUUAAAGUUGAAUUUCAAAUAAACGACGAGUAAUGCCUUAUCAUAAGAAUACCUCAAGUAUCUGAAUUCAAAUUUAGCUGUGUGUUCAGAAUUUUAUCGGGUGGUCCUACCCAGGGUCACCUAGGGUAGCCAUUGAGGUAUCCUGUAUGCCUAUGUAUGUCCCUCGGCUUAGGUCUCACCAAGUGUGGAGCUGGGUUCUUCCCAAGAAUUACCCUGAGGUUAUUUUCAGCUCCCCUCACCCCCCAGCUCCUUCCAAUGGUCACUGCACGUUCUAGGGCCACUCAGGAGCUAAGCAGAAGGGGCAAGAUGCCCCUCCUUGGAAUUCAGGGGUAUCCUCCAUCCUCUGAGCUAGUUUAAAAGACUAGUCAAAAACACUAAGGAACUGAAAUGUGAGAAAGGGGCAUGAGAUGAAGUCAGUGAUUUAGACAAGGGUCUCCGGCAAUUCAGCUUUUAUUGGCAUCCCUGUGGGAAUCAGCUGAAGGGUUUUCAGAAGAGGACUACCAAGAUUGAAUUUGUUUUUCACAAAGACCCUUGGACCACCAAGAGGUCAGAACAAAUCAUCUUAUAGGGCUUUAGCUGCUCAUCCCAUAGAUGCCAGAAAGGACUUAAAAGCAGCAAAGGGAGGAUAAAACCCCCAUGCUAUUGCCUCUCCUGUGGUCACUUUACAACUGGAAGGGCUGGCAUGGACAGGGUUUCCAGGAAGUGGGGUGGGGGAAAUGGCUCCCAUGGAGAGAUUAACCUAUUUCUGUGUCCCUCCUGAGCAGGGGCAGACAGAGAUGACAACCUAUCUCCCUCUGUUCCCAUGGGCUAAGCCUGCCUUUCCCAGGGUGGGUGCAGGGUAAAGGAGGUAUGUGCUAACACCAGUCCAUCAUUUCUUCUGUCCCUAUACCUUUUGUUACUCUUUCAUUUAUCUUCCCAAAGGUCCUGUCAUGCUUGUGUUUCAGAAGCAUACAAGGCUUCCUACUUCAGAAUUGGCUUUCUGUUUCAAGGCCCUCAAUGAGUCUACUGCAUUGAGCUCCUUAAAGACUGAGGGACUCAACUCUGCAUCACAGUAUCAACCACAAGGCCCC